rnacentral:rRNA from 1 species
UACGUAGGGGGCAAGCGUUGUCCGGAUUUAUUGGGCGUAAAGAGCGUGUAGGCGGCUUGGUAGGUCCGCUGUGAAAACUCGAGGCUCAACCUCGAGAUGUCGGCGGAAACCACUUGGCUAGAGUCCGGAAGAGGAGAGUGGAAUUCCCGGUGUAGCGGUGAAAUGCGCAGAUAUCGGGAAGAACACCUAUGGCGAAGGCAGCUCUCUGGGACGGUACUGACGCUGAGGAGCGAAAGCGUGGGUAGCAAACAGG